UGCAGCUCAAUAAGGAUCGGCCUCUCCCCAAAUUCGGAGAAUGGGAUGUGAACAAUCCUGCCGCAGCCAGCGAAUUUACUGUCAUAUUUGACAAGGUUAGAGAUGAGAGGAAGACCGGUGGGACAUCUAGUAGUGUGUCACCAAAUCCAUCGCCAAAAUAUACAGCCAGUGAUAAAUACAGCCAUUCCUCCAAGUCCAACAACAAGAGAAAGUGGUUCUGCCUUUGUUAAGUUGCUCCUUUGGAUUCUCUCUCCCCUUGAAGAUCUCAGAGAGACAGGAGACUUUGGCUGGCUAUGGUCGUUGGGUACUUGUGUUGGAGAAGAGGGUCGUGACAUUGUGGUUGUUAACCUUGCUUUUUAGUGUCAUUUUUUCUUUUUUGGCUAUGGUUGUUGGGUACUUGCAUUUUAUGCAUUAUAGCUUGUACUCCCGGAGUGUAUUGUAUAUAUAUAUACACAUGAGUUUCCUUUCC